rnacentral:rRNA from 1 species
UACGUAGGGUGCAAGCGUUAAUCGGAAUUACUGGGCGUAAAGCGUACGCAGGCGGCUUGAUAAGACAGGUGUGAAAUCCCCGGGCUUAACCUGGGAACUGCAUUUGUGACUGUCAGGCUAGAGUUUGUCAGAGGGGGGUGGAAUUCCACGUGUAGCAGUGAAAUGCGUAGAGAUGUGGAGGAACACCGAUGGCGAAGGCAGCCCCCUGGGAUGAAACUGACGCUCAGGUACGAAAGCGUGGGGAGCAAACAGG